rnacentral:sRNA from 1 species
AUUUACCUGCAGAGUGCUUAGGACAGUGCCUGGCUCACGGUCAGUGCUCACGUUUGGGCAGCUGCACUUGGGCGCUGCUGACACAGGAGGAUUGCUGUCACGUCUAAUGUGGCUGCUGCCUCGUGUCACAUCUGAAACUCAUCUGUACCUCACUUAGAAAGUUUCUUUCUAUAAUACAAGCCUGAACAUACUGCUCUCCUGAUUAAAAACUUUCAGUGGUUCUGAUUAGACAAGACUUUUCGUUGCAGUCGACAGAAACCUAGUGGGACCAUUGAAGAAUUCCAAACAGGCAAGUGACAGGAACAUAUUUGCAUGUUAGAAGAAUCAGGCUGGCAGCAGUAUUGUGAUUAGAAUGAAGGGGAAGCGUCCAAAAACAGACUGGGGAACCAAUAUGGAUCUGCCUCUAGCAUGCGGAAAUAUCUCUCUACACUGACCUAACUGACUUACUAAGCUUGUGGUUUGUUUAAAGGAAGCCACAUGAAAAUUGAGUU